ACACGCAUGACACACUGCAUAUCAAUAAGCGGAGGAAAAGAAACUAACAAGGAUUCCCUUAGUAACGGCGAGUGAAGCGGGAAGAGCUCAAAUUUGAAAUCUUCAAGGUUUUACCUUGACGAAUUGUAGUUUAAAGAAGUGUUUUCUGUUGAAGUUUUGGUAAAAGUUCUUUGGAAUAGGACAUCAUAGAGGGUGAGAAUCCCGUAUUUGACCAUUAUUUUCAGCUGUGUGAUACACUUUCAAAGAGUCGGAUUGUUUGGGAAUGCAGUCCAAAAUGGGUGGUAAAUUUCAUCUAAAGCUAAAUAUUGGCGAGAGACCGAUAGCGAACAAGUACCGUGAGGGAAAGAUGAAAAGAACUUUGAAAAGAGAGUUAAACAGUACGUGAAAUUGUCAAAAGGGAAGCGUUUGACACCAGUGUUGUUUUCUCGAAAAUCAAUUAAAAAAGGCCGGAUUUUGUGUUGUAUUGACCUUAAAAGCUUUCUUCACUCUUUUCUUGUCUUUUUUAAUGCACUUUUCGUUUAACAAGUCAACAUCAGUUUCUUUUGUUGUAAAAGGGUCAUUGGAAGGUGGCUUUCUUUUCGGAGAAAGUGUUUAUAGCCUUUGAUCUCUGCAACCGGAGAGACUGAGGUCUGCAGCGUAGACUCUUCGGGGUUAGAUACAUUUGUGCUAAGUUAUAGCUUUUCAUAGACAACUUGUUGACUAUAUUUAGUCUUGUAGCUUACUCGCUUAUGCUAUUUUACCUACGCUUAGGAUGUUGAGCGCAUGUCUCUCUCU
rnacentral:rRNA from 1 species